UCCCAUGGAGAAGAGAAUGGCAACUCACUGCAGUAGUCUUGCCUUGAGAAUUCCAUGGACAGAGGAGCCUGGCAGGCCACAGUCCAUGGUCCUCAAAGAGUCGGACACGACUGAGCAACUAACACCCUGAGGCACCGGUGGCACCUCCGUGUAACAAGGCUGUUGGAUGAGCUAAGUCCAUCAGAGCUGGAAAGAUGCAGAAACCGACUUCUUUAGGAGUCUGAAACUUAACUUACCUCCAGGCCUUUGGGGAGACUUAUCUGGUGACCUGCAGUCACUGGCCGGAGGCUUUCAGAUACAGUGGACGUGAGCACAGACUAACCGCUGGGAGCUGUGCCAGAGCCGGGGCCCCCGCUCUCCCUGCACGUCGCGCUCGGUGAGUGAAUGCGGGCGGUGGCAGAAUGGGACCUGGCACUCCUGGGCUCAGCGACUCUCUUCUCUGAGGGCCCCAGGCCCUUUAAACUCUCCAGCCAGACAUGGCAGCAAGAAUGAAUGCGCACUUCCAGCCCAACUGCUUUUCAAUGAAGAGUUUUAUUAGAAGGGCACUUACAGGAGGAAGAGAGGAGAGAGGACACAUUUAACAAUAGGGGUACAAUGCUUAAACAGGUGCUCAGCUCUUAAGAUACAAAAGUUAGAAAAAUCUAAAACACUA